UGCCGCCGCACACACAGGGCAGCCUCCGACCCUGGCACUGCACCGCGGCGGGACUGAUGUGGCACACUGAGGGAACACCGACAGACAAACAUCUCUCGAGGACACCAGAGCUACUGGCAGUAUCGAACAGGGAGCGUAUUGACUUCUUUCCGAUAAGAAAACUUGAUUUCAGUGGACUCUCAUCCCUUAAAAACAGAAAUAUAAGUGUUUGAGUGGAAUAAACAUUUGCCACAGGCUACCAUGCUUUAAUAAAGUUACAAGUCAAGAGAAACUAAAGGAUUUCCCACUAACCUACUGUGCUCACUAUUUGCAAGCAUUGUUACUCAGAUCCCACAGGUCUGAGAAACUCAAUCAUUGUCAGCCUCUUCCUACUGUGUCACCACGAGAAGAAACUUCAAGAGGAAGCUGACAAAAGGGUUGAUGUACGUCCGGCAGGAACGGCAUCUCACAAUAAUACUGGAAGUGACCACUGGCAGUUGCUGGAAAAGAAAAGCUUCCUGUUCUAAAGCAUCCUUGUUGAAAGAAGGAGUACUUCUGCAUUCUCACAGCAUCCCUGCAAUUUCUUAAUAUGACAGCUGAUUUUUGCAGAAACUGUGCGCUAGGUGGUCCUGCUACCGCUGUUGAUGGCCUAGCACACAGAACAGAUAAUGUCGGCUUUACGAGAACGGCAAGCAAAGAAAGCACCGCAGCGCCGCAGGCUGAGCUCAGCGAUAACCACAGUGCCACAUGUACAGCCCCGUUCCAAAGGGUCAAACCUCGGCUGUGUCACCCGUGCCACCGGCAGGGACCCGCCCGGGCUAAGGGACGGUCCGGGGCAGCUCGAGCCGUGCGUGUUACCCCGGCAGCACAGACACGGGCUCUCUGAAAGACGCUGGCGUUCAUACCGACAGACAAAUGUACUCAGAGAUACUUCUGACAUGAGAAAAAAUCAGAAUGAAGAUUUAUUUUGCCUAAUGAGACGCUCUGUGUUUUCUUCAGUGACACUUGGGGCAGCAGCUCAUCCCCACUCCCACCGUCCCACGGCGCUCCCGGGGUCACAGCAGGAGCCCGGCUCCGCUGCCGCUCCUCUCCUACUUUCCUCCCUAAUUUA